AAUAAACAUUCUGGGCUCCUGGACUAUUGGUGUUAGAGCCUGUUUGUGGGUGGGUGCACGGCGAGGCAGGGCGCUGGCAGUGGACCAAGGCACGAUCACACAUUUUGGGACAUUUUAUUGGACGCACGAUGACUUCUGACUUGCAUGACGAGCGCCUAUCCAGAGGCUUGUUUUCCGAGUCAGAAUCCUGACGUUCGCUGUGGCAGUUCCAUCUCGGCUUCCACCUUCCCAAACUCAGACACGUGGUGUGGACGGGCCUUGCCAGCCUUGGUGAGACCCCACCCAGGAAGGCGGACCGCAUGAAGGCCCGGUCCAAUCGGGAUGAACGAUGACAUCGGCUUCGCCAUGGCUCUACCCCCUAGCUCCAUGAUCUAUAAAAUACAAAGCAAUCCUCAGAGUAGGGUGGUAUGGGAUGAAAAGGAGUUCGUUGGAGUGGGAGAAGGAUUGGAAGGUUGCAGUUGUUAUUGACGGGGUCGUUGUGAAGGUGUUCCGUUGCUUGGCUCUGACCACGUCCCGCCUCGACGGCCCGACUGCUGGUCCACGCACACCGACCUCGACCGGGUCUCUUGCCUGGUCCUGUCGACUGCUCCAUUUCUUGCCUUGGACUCCGUUCUCUCCACUCAAGCUCCUUGAUGGACACUAUCUCCACACGUGCGGCUGUGGACCGAACUGCACGACCUUUGUCAGAUGCCGCACCACGGAGCACCCUUUCCCCCGAAACGCUCAGGUGGUCAUCCAUGAACUCAAACAAACAUGCAUAACACUUCAUUUCAUAUCAAUUCUUCUCUGUCAAAAACAAAAACAAUCUUCCGUAGGCAGAACCAAAGGGGCAUGCCGAGGGGGCAUGUGGGGCCGACACGGUCCUCGGCCAGUCGCCGGAGCACGGCCCUGGAGUUCAGUGCGGGGCGGUUCAUGUCGCGAUAUUCGGAGCAACACAAUUCCACAGCUCGGCGAUGUCUCUGGAUGUAAAAUGAGGCCACUUCCAGCCAUGGCACCACAUCCGUGUGGUGGCCGGGACCCAAUGGGAGCGCCCGAUUCGGGUGACGAUGCAUCGCUUCGGGAUGGCACCCCGCCAUGCACCGCAGGGCCGAUAAAGGACGGAUCGCGAAGCCGUCUAUACUCAUCCUCUUACUCUUUGUCUGGCCUUGGAUCGAUCUCUGCCUGCGCCUGUUGCCCUGCCUUCUCUGCCUGUUUCUCGCCGCUGGCUCCACCCACCCACCUUCUCCGCCUACCUCUUGCCACUGGACAACCCACUCACUUGGCUCCACCUAAAGUCCUCCCUCACGCCAGACGGCCUCGCCGUUUCUCACGGACCGCACGUGCUGCGCUGGCACCAUAGUCAAGCAGGAGACGACACGCCAACUAUCAAGGGGGGAUCGUUCAGCGGAGCGUCCCCCCAAAAUGUAUUGGGUAGCACGGUCAGUCAACCGUGUAAGGUAAUGUGAGCCGUUAGCCUCAUCUCCUCUCCUUUCUUCUAAUUAACUCCUCUUUAUUGGGUUUUGUUUGAGUGUGCGUGUGCGUGUGUGUGCGUGUGCGUGUGUGUGUGUGUGUGUGUGUGUGUGUGUGUGUGUGUGUGUGUGUGUGUGUGUGUGUGGGGGGGGGGGGGGGGGGGGGGGGGGGGGGGGGGGGGGGGGGG
ensembl:lincRNA